rnacentral:rRNA from 1 species
AGUUUGAUCCUGGCUCAGAACGAACGCUGGCGGCAUGCCUAACACAUGCAAGUCGAACGAGACCUUCGGGUCUAGUGGCGCACGGGUGCGUAACGCGUGGGAAUCUGCCCUUGGGUUCGGAAUAACAGCGAGAAAUUGCUGCUAAUACCGGAUGAUGACGUAAGUCCAAAGAUUUAUCGCCCAAGGAUGAGCCCGCGUAGGAUUAGCUAGUUGGUGAGGUAAAGGCUCACCAAGGCGACGAUCCUUAGCUGGUCUGAGAGGAUGAUCAGCCACACUGGGACUGAGACACGGCCCAGACUCCUACGGGAGGCAGCAGUGGGGAAUAUUGGACAAUGGGCGAAAGCCUGAUCCAGCAAUGCCGCGUGAGUGAUGAAGGCCUUAGGGUUGUAAAGCUCUUUUACCCGGGAUGAUAAUGACAGUACCGGGAGAAUAAGCUCCGGCUAACUCCGUG